GGAUGUGAGGGUGAUCUGGCUGUGGCAUCUGCCACCCCACUGAUCACCAGGGCUCAUUUGGCUGAUCUGGCCGGCUAGGCGGAUAUCCCCUUCCUCCUUCACUGCUCCGUGUGUGUUCUUCCUGAUGCUGUGCACUCGGUCGAAGAGGACAGCCUUCCCCAAACAGAGCUAGAACUUCCAAAC
rnacentral:snRNA from 1 species